rnacentral:rRNA from 2 species
CUCGUUAUGCUUGUCAUGGCUGUCGCACGAACUCCGCCUUAGAUGGGGCUUGCAUCAUGAAUUACAUUUGAGUGAGUGGCGAACUGGUGAGUAACACGUGGGAAACCUGCCCAGAAGCGGGGGAUAACACCUGGAAACAGAUGCUAAUACCGCAUAACAACUUGGACCGCAUGGUCCGAGUUUGAAAGAUGGCUUCGGCUAUCACUUUUGGAUGGUCCCGCGGCGUAUUAGCUAGAUGGUGAGGUAACGGCUCACCAUGGCAAUGAUACGUAGCCGACCUGAGAGGGUAAUCGGCCACAUUGGGACUGAGACACGGCCCAAACUCCUACGGGAGGCAGCAGUAGGGAAUCUUCCACAAUGGACGAAAGUCUGAUGGAGCAACGCCGCGUGAGUGAAGAAGGGUUUCGGCUCGUAAAACUCUGUUGUUAAAGAAGAACAUAUCUGAGAGUAACUGUUCAGGUAUUGACGGUAUUUAACCAGAAAGCCACGGCUAACUACGUGCCAGCAGCCGCGGUAAUACGUAGGUGGCAAGCGUUGUCCGGAUUUAUUGGGCGUAAAGCGAGCGCAGGCGGUUUUUUAAGUCUGAUGUGAAAGCCUUCGGCUCAACCGAAGAAGUGCAUCGGAAACUGGGAAACUUGAGUGCAGAAGAGGACAGUGGAACUCCAUGUGUAGCGGUGAAAUGCGUAGAUAUAUGGAAGAACACCAGUGGCGAAGGCGGCUGUCUGGUCUGUAACUGACGCUGAGGCUCGAAAGUAUGGGUAGCAAACAGGAUUAGAUACCCUGGUAGUCCAUACCGUAAACGAUGAAUGCUAAGUGUUGGAGGGUUUCCGCCCUUCAGUGCUGCAGCUAACGCAUUAAGCAUUCCGCCUGGGGAGUACGGCCGCAAGGCUGAAACUCAAAGGAAUUGACGGGGGCCCGCACAAGCGGUGGAGCAUGUGGUUUAAUUCGAAGCUACGCGAAGAACCUUACCAGGUCUUGACAUACUAUGCAAAUCUAAGAGAUUAGACGUUCCCUUCGGGGACAUGGAUACAGGUGGUGCAUGGUUGUCGUCAGCUCGUGUCGUGAGAUGUUGGGUUAAGUCCCGCAACGAGCGCAACCCUUAUUAUCAGUUGCCAGCAUUAAGUUGGGCACUCUGGUGAGACUGCCGGUGACAAACCGGAGGAAGGUGGGGAUGACGUCAAAUCAUCAUGCCCCUUAUGACCUGGGCUACACACGUGCUACAAUGGAUGGUACAACGAGUUGCGAACUCGCGAGAGUAAGCUAAUCUCUUAAAGCCAUUCUCAGUUCGGAUUGUAGGCUGCAACUCGCCUACAUGAAGUCGGAAUCGCUAGUAAUCGCGGAUCAGCAUGCCGCGGUGAAUACGUUCCCGGGCCUUGUACACACCGCCCGUCACACCAUGAGAGUUUGUAACACCCAAAGUCGGUGGGGUAACCUUUUAGGAACCAGCCGCCUAUUGGUGGGUUGAUGCAUUAUCACAGUGCAGUAUGUACCACCUAGAGGCC